rnacentral:rRNA from 1 species
GAUGAACGCUAGCUACAGGCUUAACACAUGCAAGUCGAGGGGUAACGAGAGGAAAGCUUGCUUUCCUUGUCGACGACCGGCGCACGGGUGAGUAACGCGUAUCCAACCUGCCCCCAACUAAGGAAUAACCUUGCGAAAGUAAGACUAAUACCUUAUAAUUUCCUCAGAUGACAUCUGACGAGGAAUAAAGAUUUAUCGGUUGUGGAUGGGGAUGCGUCUGAUUAGCUUGUUGGUGGGGUAACGGCCCACCAAGGCAACGAUCAGUAGGGGUUCUGAGAGGAAGGUCCCCCACAUUGGAACUGAGACACGGUCAAAACUCCUACGGGAGGCAGCAGUGAGGAAUAUUGGUCAAUGGGCGGAAGCCUGAACCAGCCAAGUAGCGUACAGGAUGACGGCCCUAUGGGUUGUAAACUGCUUUUAUACAGGAAUAAAGUUAGCCACGUGUGGUUAUUUGUAGGUACUGUAUGAAUAAGGACCGGCUAAUUCCGUGCCAGCAGCCGCAGUAA